rnacentral:rRNA from 1 species
GACGAACGCUGGCGGCGUGCUUAACACAUGCAAUUCGAACGGAAAGGCCUGCUUUCCCUUGUGUAUUGCGGGUACUCGAGUGGCGAACGGGUGAUUAACACGUUACUUAUCUGCCCCCAACUUGGGUAUAAGCCUGGGACACUUGGUCUAAUUCCCUAUAGGACUGCAGGUUGGUUCCUGUGGUGGAACACGAUUUUCUCGUGUUUGUGGAUGCGCUCGCGGCAUAUCAGCUUGUUGGUGGGGUAAUGGCCUACCAAGGCGGCGACGGGUAGCCGGCCUGGGAGGGGGGACGGUGAAAUUGAGACGGAGGGAAGGCCCAGACGGCUACGGGAGGUAGCAGUGGGGAAGAAAGGAGAAGGGGCGGAAGCCUGAUGCAGCGACGGAGCGUGGGGGAUGAAGGGCUUGGGGUUGUAAACUCAUAGGGACGGAGAGGAAGGCAACUGGUUGGAAGGGUGGUGACGGUAGUGGUAGAAGAAGCAACGGCUAACUACGUG